GGAGCUGGAGCUGGAGCUGAUGUGAGCGCUGGCAGAGGAAGAGAGGAUGAAGACAGCUCUCCUGGGUAUCCCUCUCCCAUCACACAUGAAGGCGUAGAGAGAAAUGAGAUGAAACAAAGGCUGGGAGCUGAGGAGAGACAACGCCAAGUGGAAAAGAGGCAUGUCUGCUGAAAACACAAGGGCCAAAGGGGCGGAGAACCAAAUUCCCAAGAUCUUUCAGUUUGCCUACAAUGAAAAAGAAACACGUGAGUAGUAAGCAGAGGGAAAACUCCCACUGAAUGAUGCCCAACUACACACUCCAGCUCCACCAAUUUAUCUACUAAUUCAAGCAUUUCUGAAGCAAUUAGAAGAGCUGGAACAAACCAUCGUCCUAUCCCUAAAUGAUAAGUAAAGACUGGACAAAAAGUAACUGUAUGUCAGUGCUGCUUUGAACUACUUCAAGUGACCUCAAGUUCUCUGUACUCACAGUACUGAGCUUUAGCUGCUUAGUUUCAAAUACAACAUACCCUUCAGUAACAAAGAAGAAAACUGUUCUUUAGGCAUUAAGCCUCAUAAAUAUUUUCACUGAUCUUAAGCAGCUGGAAAAAGCUCUUAUUGAUGGACAGGUCCGGGUGAUAUGCUCUAAUAGGUGUUUGUGUUAAUCACAUUAAUAAGCAAGUACAUUUUACUAUUUUCCUGAAUACACUCAUAACUUAAGCUGAAAAUCCCAAGUGUUUUUGAUCAGAUUUGAUGAAUUGUUUGUAUAAGAUGGGUUACACAGAUUGGCAUAUGUCCCACCCCAAUGUUUACAUCCAAUAUGCUUAGCUUUCCUAUAGCUAUGUAGAAAACUGUAUUGUGAUCACAGACGGCAAGCUGCUAAAGCUCACUGAAACAACUCCAAACUUCCACUCACUUCACACCCUCUCCCCAAGGUCCUUGGUCCUUUAUCACUAUAACGAGGAUCUAAACAAGACUAGCUUGUUGCACAAUAGCUAGAGACCUUUUGUUUUAAAAUCAGAAGAAAAAUAACCCAAAUGGUUAGAAUGUGUUUUAAUCCCAGACAGUGAGAGAGGCAGAGGACGCCCAUGUUAUGAAACCAUAAAGGGAAUGAACCACAGAAUGGAUUUGAGUUAGAAUGGACCUUUAGAGACCAUCUAGUCCAACUCUCGUGCCAUGAGUAUGGGCAACCUGAUUUUGUGGAGGAUGUCCAAAGCCCUGUCCAAGCUGACCUUGAACACAUCAGUGCCACAAGCAUUUAAAAGCUACUUUGAAAGUGUGCUAUAAAUUAAGCUUUCAUUUAUAUGAAACUCAAUCGGAGGUGAGGUGGCACUGAGCCAAUUUUAGCAUCGUGUGACAACAUUAACCUGCUAAUACUGAAUGGAAAAUAGGUAAAUAAUUUAAAGACAAAUGCCAGCUUUAGAACUGAAAUGGGGUUGGUUUGGCAGUAAACCAUCACAUCAUUUUUCUAAUGACAUCAACUUCGUUAAUCACAAGCAACUACCAUUUGUAUGCAAGAAUUCAUAGCAAGGUAGUCUGGAAAAGAAGAUCCAGCCAAGAAUGUGUACUUUGAUUUAUUUACAUACCAUCACUUAAGAAGUGGUUUCAGUUUCUGUCAAAAUAUGUGGUAAUGAGCUGUGGCACUAGAAAACAGGAAACAACACACUGGCGGAAGGAGGAAGAUGCACUCUUUUUAAAGUUUAUUUGUACACAGUUCUGGUUUUCAUGGCAGCAUUACUCAGCUGUGCUGGGUACACCAGUGCUUAGUUUUAGUUGAAACCGUAAAAGACCAGAAAAAAACAUGUUUACGGGCUGAUAUACUGACUAAAAUAAGAAUUCAAGGUGGUAUCCCAACUUCAAAAGGAACCAAGGCACAAGUGUGACAUUAUUUUAAAAGAUAUUGUUAGUUAUUACGUAAAUUCAGUGUAAGUGCACCUACACCAGGACUGACCUGGAACUAUUUGGAUGCAUCUGACUUGCUCUCCUGGGACCAAGAAUUCUGGGGCACGACCCAGACAGCACAGCUGGCUCUCCUGUGAGAGAGCUGGGGAACAAAUCUUCAUAUGCCUGGCACUGGUUGCAGAUUACUGUUAAACAACUGUCAAUUCUGACGCAGUACUCAGUGGGUAGAUAGCACUAAAAAAGUUCUUGAAUAACAUGAGUUGAAGCAGCUUAAAACAAACACAGUGUACAAUAAAAAGAAUCCAAAUAAAUGUUUUAACCACCAUGCUUAUUCACAUUUGUCUUACAUUCCUUCUGGAACUCCCAAUUCCUCCCCGUUCCACCCUUCAGCUGGAAGGGUUUCUCCUCCCAGGCCUGCACCAUUAGAUGCACUGCAUAGAUGACAUUGCUGCUGCUUCUGUUAUGGACAAGAUAUUGGGCAUAACACUUAAAUAAAAUGAGUAACUAUUGCCUGUAUUUGAAACUUAACCUCAGAUGUUCUAUGAAGAGACUAUAUGGUAAAAAAUUCCUUACUUUGUGUUACACUGGUGAUCACAAGUACUGCCAUGAAUAAAUGCUCAAGUCACACCAGACAAUUUUAACAACAUGAGAUAAUUUACGUGAAUCCCA
rnacentral:lncRNA from 1 species